CCAGACAGCCAGGAUGUUGGCUUAGAAGCAGCCAUCAUUUAAAGAAAGCGUAAUAGCUCACUGGUCGAGUCGGCCUGCGCGGAAGAUGUAACGGGGCUAAACCAUGCACCGAAGCUGCGGCAGCGAAGGUAUCACCCAAGACAACUUUACGGAGUUGACGAUUGACGGAGCGAAGCGACGUCAAAGCGUAUACAAAGUCGAGUUGGCUUAGGGAUACGUUCGUUGGGUAGGGGAGCGUUCUGUAAGCCUGUGAAGGUGGCCUGUGAGGGUUGCUGGAGGUAUCAGAAGUGCGAAUGCUGACAUAAGUAACGAUAAAGCGGGUGAAAAGCCCGCUCGCCGGAAGACCAA
rnacentral:rRNA from 1 species